GAUGAAGAACGCAGCGAAAUGCGAUAAGUAAUGUGAAUUGCAGAAUUCAGUGAAUCAUCGAAUCUUUGAACGCACCUUGCACCCUUUGGCAUUCCGAAGGGUAUGCUCGUUUGAGUGUCAUUGUACUCCCACUCUCCCGAUCUUUGGAUCGGGAGUGGUGGACUUGGGUGUUGCUGCUUUACCGUGGCUCACCUCAAAUGGAUUCGUGCAACUCCUGGUUGGACAUAGUACGGCGUGAUAAGUGUCUUCGCCGGCACCUCACUAGAGGGUGGCUGACCGGGAGCUCUGUGCUUCAAACCGUCUUCGGACAACAACUGACAACUUGACCUCAAAUCGAGUAGGACCACCCGCUGAACUUAAGCAUAUCAAUAAGCGGAGGA
rnacentral:misc_RNA from 1 species